rnacentral:lncRNA from 1 species
CCACUACUAAGCUUUCAUACAUGUAGUUCCACCUAGUCGGACAAGGUUUAGGAACCUUUCUUUCUCUAAGGCCACUUUCGUCACAUUUUUUAUAAGGAAAAUAUCAACGCACAACAAAUAUUCUUACCACGUAAGAGUUGAAACGAGUCUACCGGAUUGACGAACAACUUCUUGAAAAUUGAAAAUCGUUGAAAUUGAACACUUGAAAAACUUCAAUUCAAC